UUCAACCCUUGUUCACCAUAUUUGAUUACUCCCUAGAAUGUUCUUCCCUAUACUGAUCCCCACUGGUUCCAGUCUGCCGCAGUGUCCCACCCCUGUUACCCUACUGGUUCCAAUGUUUGGCUGCCCCCUCCCCUGCACCACUUUCACCUGGUCCCGUUGUCCUUGAUCCUCAGACUGACCCCUUUUCCCCCAUAUAAAAUCCUGUGCCCUCAGCCCAAGUUUGUCUUUGUCCCUGGACCCCCUCUGAAGCAAUAAACAGCUUUCAGAUGUCCAGAGAAAAGUCCAGCCUCCACCUCUUUCAUUGUAGCAAGUGUGCUCCGGGCCCCAGAGCGCUGGUCGCUCUCAGAAGAGCCCAUUGAAGCCCACCACUUCAGCUCAUUAAAGACAGAGCAAUCACAGAAUUGGUCAGGUUGGAUGAGACCACAGUGGGUCAUCUGGUCCAACAUUCCUGAUCAAGGAGGGUCUCACCUGGCAUAGGACUGCAUCCAGAUACAGAUCUUCCCCAUAAAGAUCAGAACAUAAAGCUGGCAUGCAUUCCAUCAGCCUUAACACAAUGUAUCUUUUUUUCUACUUUAUUUCUUUAAAAUUGAGACCAAAACCAGUAGAUAACCAGUAACCAGCUUAAGUGUUAACAGAAAAACUGUAAAGUUCAGUCCUACAACACUUAAUAAUGAGCUUAAUCAUCAGCCCUAC